rnacentral:rRNA from 1 species
CGAGAAAGCCCUUCGGGGUGAGUAGAGCGGCGGACGGGUGAGUAACGCGUAGGAAUCUACCCAGUAGUGGGGGACAACUAGUGGAAACGCUAGCUAAUACCGCAUACGCCCUACGGGGGAAAGCGGGGGACCUUCGGGCCUCGCGCUAUUGGAGGAGCCUGCGUAAGAUUAGCUUGUUGGUGAGGUAACGGCUCACCAAGGCGACGAUCUUUAGCUGGUCUGAGAGGAUGAUCAGCCACACCGGGACUGAGACACGGCCCGGACUCCUACGGGAGGCAGCAGUCGGGAAUAUUGCGCAAUGGGGGAAACCCUGACGCAGCCAUGCCGCGUGUGUGAAGAAGGCCCUAGGGUUGUAAAGCACUUUCAAUUGGGAGGAAAAGCUAAUGGUUAAUAACCAUCAGCCCUGACGUUACCUUUAGAAGAAGCACCGGCUAACUCCGUGCCAGCAGCCGCGGUAAUACGGAGGGUGCAAGCGUUAAUCGGAAUUACUGGGCGUAAAGCGCGCGUAGGCGGUUUUUUAAGUCGGAUGUGAAAGCCCCGGGCUCAACCUGGGAACUGCAUCCGAUACUGGAAGACUAGAAUGCGGGAGAGGGAGGUAGAAUUCCAUGUGUAGCAGUGAAAUGCGUAGAUAUAUGGAGGAAUACCAGUGGCGAAGGCGGCCUCCUGGCCC